AGUGAACGCUGGCGGUAGGCCUAACACAUGCAAGUCGAACGGCAGCACAGUAAGAGCUUGCUCUUACGGGUGGCGAGUGGCGGACGGGUGAGGAAUACAUCGGAAUCUACUUUUUCGUGGGGGAUAACGUAGGGAAACUUACGCUAAUACCGCAUACGCCCUACGGGUGAAAGCAGGGGAUCUUCGGACCUUGCGCGGAUGAAUGAGCCGAUGUCGGAUUAGCUAGUUGGCGGGGUAAAGGCCCACCAAGGCGACGAUCCGUAGCUGGUCUGAGAGGAUGAUCAGCCACACUGGAACUGAGACACGGUCCAGACUCCUACGAGAGGCAGCAGUGGGGAAUAUUGGACAAUGGGCGCAAGCCUGAUCCAGCCAUACCGCGUGGGUGAAGAAGGCCUUCGGGUUGGAAAGCCCUUUUGUUGGGAAAGAAAAGCAGCAGGUUAAUACCCCGCUGUUCUGACGGUACCCAAAGAAUAAGCACCGGCUAACUUCGUG
rnacentral:rRNA from 1 species